UUUAGUAAUUUGCAUUCUACAACAACAUUAUUGUGUGUAUUUUACGAAUGUUUAGUAACUUAUGAAAUUAUUGUAGUAUUUCUAUUAAAUCUCUUGCAAUUAAUGUCUAUUGAUGUAUCUUUUUCUUGAGACAUUAUAGUGUGAGAAGGUUUAGAAAAUGAUGGAUACCAAAAUUAAGGUUUCGUUGGUGAUAACGAUGAUGAUUAUGUUGGGUUUGAUAGGAAGUGAUUACAAUGUUUCAUUUAUGCAAGUUGAGUCAAAACCUACGUAUCGUGAUAUCGUUUGCGAUUGGAAAUGUUUAACAGAAUGUUCACCUUUAGGAUUAAUUCCUCCUUUAUAUAGGUCAUGUGUUAAAGGUUGCUGCAAAAAAUGCUGCAAUGAUCAUCCCAUUCAUACCAAUACUGAUGCUCGAGAUCUUGAGGCUUCUGAGGUGAAUGCUUGUAUUCAACAAUGUGAGCUUAAAAUCAGAUAUCCAUCCUUGCUGUAAUGGAAAAUUUUAAUCAAUAAAUAACUUUUGUGAA